AGGACGAACGCUGGCGGCGUGCCUAAUACAUGCAAGUCGAACGGCUUUUCUAUGGAAGCUUGCUUCACUGAGAAGAUAGUGGCGAACGGGUGAGUAACACGUGGGUAACCUGCCCAUAAGAGGGGGAUAACAUCCGGAAACGGGUGCUAAUACCGCAUAGUUUUCUUGAUCGCAUGAUUGAGAAAGGAAAGAUGGCCUUUGUGCUGUCGCUUAUGGAUGGACCCGCGGCGUAUUAGUUAGUUGGUGAGGUAACGGCUCACCAAGACGAUGAUACGUAGCCGACCUGAGAGGGUGAUCGGCCACAUUGGGACUGAGACACGGCCCAAACUCCUACGGGAGGCAGCAGUAGGGAAUCUUCCGCAAUGGACGAAAGUCUGACGGAGCAACGCCGCGUGAGUGAAAGAAGGUUUUCGGAUCGUAAAACUCUGUUGUCAGAGAAGAACAAGUUGGAGAGUAACUGCUCCAGCCUUGACGGUAUCUGACCAGAAAGCCACGGCUAACUACGUGCCAGCCGCCGC
rnacentral:rRNA from 1 species